AUUUGAGAAAAAUCUGGGUCUUUCUAAAAACUGCUUUCCAUGCCCGGUUACGCUGUAUGUGCACCUGCAACAGGUGCACCUUUUGCAUCUGUCAGAACCUCCUCAACUCAGACUUGCUGCAAUCUGUAAAGAACAAAGUCUUCACUGCAGUUCUUAACAGGUUCUUAACUUUAUUUACUGGGUACCAGGCAUUCUGUUAAAAUACAAAAGAAAAAGUGGAUAACUAUUUUUAUCUAGCUACUCACUACAAAAGCAAAAGCCAACUGACCCCCACUAACUUCCACUGGAAGGCUCAAUGUGAUGACAGUGUUUAGUUUGGGAAUCAUCAUUAAUAAUGUUUUCUAAUUAAUAGGUUUAUUUCGGGAACUAUAAAACAAGAUUUGAGUCUUUUUCAUUAGAAAAGUAGCCAUCUGUUCCGUCUGAGGACAUACUAAGUACGUGGAUAUUAUAAUCUUUGGGUGUGAAUUGUAGACUAGGAGGACUUUCGUAGUAAGGAACAGACUUGUCAAUUCAAAAUCAAAAACACUGUACUGUAUUUAGUUCACAUUCCUAUGACAUACCACAUGCAGACCGUGCUAAUAUGAAUUGUAUUCUUUUCUUGAAACCAUUUGUAGUUCCAGUAUAUCUUUUGGGGGAAAAAAGGACCUGGAAUGUUUACUUGAAAGAACAAGGGUUCUAGAAACAAAACUAACAAUCAGCUUUAAAGUUUUAAGGAAUAUAGAAAGAAGCUGUAGUGCUGGAUUCUAAGCCCUCCUCCCUCAAGUUUAUUAACCCUGUUUACUCCAAACAAGCAGAUUGCUUACUGAAGUCAUUCUUAAGGUGCUAAGCUAUGACAUAGUCCUAGAACGUAAUGUAUUCUCUCAAAACUGAAAUGGGGGGAGGGGUGCAUUUAUUC
rnacentral:lncRNA from 1 species